rnacentral:tRNA from 1 species
GGCGGUGUAGCUCAGCGGUAGAGCAGUGGAAUCAUAAUCCAUAGGUCCGGGGUUCAAAUCCCUGCGCCGCUA